rnacentral:rRNA from 1 species
CAUUGUGCUUGCACAGAUGACGACCGGCGCACGGGUGCGUAACGCGUAUAGAACCUACCUUUUACAGAGGAAUAGCCUUUAGAAAUGAAGAUUAAUGCCUCAUAGUAUUGUAGACUGGCAUCAGUUUAUAAUUAAAGAUUUAUCGGUAAAAGAUGGCUAUGCGUCCUAUUAGUUAGUUGGUAAGGUAACGGCUUACCAAGACAGCGAUAGGUAGGGGUCCUGAGAGGGAGAUCCCCCACACUGGUACUGAGACACGGACCAGACUCCUACGGGAGGCAGCAGUGAGGAAUAUUGGACAAUGGAGGAGACUCUGAUCCAGCCAUGCCGCGUGUAGGAAGAAUGCCCUAUGGGUUGUAAACUACUUUUAUACAGGAAGAAACACUGGUAUGUAUACCAGCUUGACGGUACUGUAAGAAUAAGGACCGGCUAACUCCGUGCCAGCAGCCGCGGUAAUACGGAGGGUCCGAGCGUUAUCCGGAAUCAUUGGGUUUAAAGGGUCCGCA